rnacentral:rRNA from 1 species
UACAGAGGGGGCGAGCGUUAUUCGGAAUUAUUGGGCGUAAAGAGCUCGUAGGCGGUUUGUCGCGUCUGCUGUGAAAACCUGAGGCUCAACCUCGGGCUUGCAGUGGGUACGGGCAGACUAGAGUGCGGUAGGGGUGACUGGAAUUCCUGGUGUAGCGGUGGAAUGCGCAGAUAUCAGGAGGAAUACCGAUGGCGAAGGCAGCCCCCUGGGUCAAUACUGACGACUCAU